CUUCACCGAACCCAACGCCAGCGGACGAUCCCGAUUCUGCCCGUACGCAGCCAGCAACGCCUGCGCCUC
rfam:Kibdelosporangium aridum strain DSM 43828 genome assembly, contig: LX79DRAFT_scaffold00008.8